rnacentral:rRNA from 1 species
GAUGAACGCUAGCUACAGGCUUAACACAUGCAAGUCGAGGGGCAGCGCAGUGUAGUAAUACAUGGGCGGCGACCGGCGCACGGGUGCGUAACGCGUAUCCAACCUUCCCGUUACUCAGGGAUAGCCUUCCGAAAGGGAGAUUAAUACCUGAUGGUGUUCAAAUUCCGCAUGUUAUUUGAACUAAAGAUUUAUCGGUAGCGGAUGGGGAUGCGUGACAUUAGAUAGUAGGCGGGGUAACGGCCCACCUAGUCUACGAUGUCUAGGGGUUCUGAGAGGAAGGUCCCCCACACUGGAACUGAGACACGGUCCAGACUCCUACGGGAGGCAGCAGUGAGGAAUAUUGGUCAAUGGUCGGAAGACUGAACCAGCCAAGUAGCGUGAAGGAUGAAGGUUCUAUGGAUUGUAAACUUCUUUAUACGGGAAUAAAACCUCCCACGUGUGGGANCUUGUAUGUACCGUAUGAAUAAGCAUCGGCUAACUCCGUG